AGUAAAGUCAGCUAAAAAAGCUCUUGGGCCCAUACCCCAAAAACGUCGGUUAAACUCCUUCCUUUACUA
rnacentral:tRNA from 1 species